rnacentral:tRNA from 1 species
UUUAACAAACUAAAGUUUAUUAGGUCUAUAUUUCGGCUGUAGGUUUUGGAUUUUAUAAUAUUGUCCUGUUAAAA